UCCUCGUUUAAGCGAGGCAGUCUGUCCAGAGUGCUUCCCGCUCUCGCGGGAGUCGCAACAGGACACAAGGGUUGCGCUCGUUGCGGGACUUAACCCAACAUCUCACGACACGAGCUGACGACAGCCAUGCAGCACCUGUGUAGGCUCCCCUUGCGGGGUCGUUACCCUUUCAGACUUCUACCACCUACAUGUCAAGGCCAGGUAAGGUUCUUCGCGUUGCAUCGAAUUAAGCCACAUACUCCACCGCUUGUGCAGGCCCCCGUCAAUUUCUUUGAGUUUUAAUCUUGCGACCGUACUCCCCAGGCGGCACAUUUAACGCGUUAGCUACGCCACGAACGGGGUCGAAUCCGCCCACAGCAAAUGUGCACCGUUUACGGCUAGGACUAC
rnacentral:misc_RNA from 1 species